CGUGAUAACUCCCUUUAUUUUAAUGUAGAAGGUUUUUCUUGUGUACAUCAAUCUUCUUCUUUAUUUUAUUGUCACUGAAGCCGCACGGAGACGAGAGGAGCAGCUAUGAGUUUAAUAGCGAGUGGAUUUGUUGUCGUCCUUCUCUCUAUGCCAGAAGAAAGGCAUCUUUGAACACGUCGUUCCUCCUUCACUUCUCACAGAGAAGAGAGGAGCAGCUAUGAGUCUAACUGCAGCAGCGAGUGGAUUAGUUGUCUUCCUGCUCUCUGUGUCAGUGGUUCAGGGUCUGGAUGGCUGGGGAGUGACUUACUCUUCUACUGAGAUCUGUGCAGUGAAAGGAUCAACAGUGGAGAUAAGCUGCAGCUACACAUACCCAUCAACAUGGGAAGGAAGUGUAAACACAGUUAAGAAAACAUUCUGGUUUAAACAGAAAGAUGGUGAACCUGUAGAUCUGACCACAGUCUCAGAGUACGCAGGUCGUGUAGAGUAUCUCUGUGAAAACAACAUCUGCACUCUGAGAAUCAGAAACCUGAGCGAGAGCGACUCAGCUGAGUACAGGUUCAGGAUCGAAACAAACCAAGCAGGAGGAACAUAUAGUGGUUCACCUGGAGUCACUUUGUCUCUCACAGAUCUCUCGGUGCAGGUGGAACGCAAAGAUUCUAGCAGAGCAAACCUGAAGUGUCAGAGCAGUUGUGAUUUACCUGAUGAUGAUUAUGUCUGGUACAAGAACGGAGGAAACACUCUGUCAGGAACUUCUUCUCUUCAAGUCGACUUUAACUAUCUGGACAGCUAUUCCUGUGCCUUGAAAGGAUUUGAGGACUCUCCCUCCCCUUCAGUGUGUGUCACUGGUCGAGACAGCAACACGGUGACUUAUACUGAGGGAAGUAUCUGCGCCCCCAGAGGAUCAUCAGUGGACAUUUCCUGCAGGUACAGCAGUAAUGACUGUAUUACAUCUAAGUUCUGGUUCAGUCCUGAGCGUAGUCAUCAGGGACAGAAUCCCUCUCAACCUGAGGACCUCAGUGAAGACUCCCAGUAUGCAGGUCGUGUUCAGAUCCUUGAGACAGAGAGAGGACGCUCCACUCUGAGGAUCUCUGACCUGAGAGACUCAGAUUCAGCUCAGUAUCGCUUCACAUUCAAAACACCAAGCUUUGAAUGGAGGAGUGAUUUUCCUGGUACAACUCUGACUGUCACAGCUCUGCAGGUGCAGGUGAUCACAGAGACGUACGGGCAGCCCUAUACCUAUGCAGAGCUGAAGUGCCACAGCAGCUGCAGUCCAGCUGGUGUUUCCUACGUCUGGUUCAAGAACAACGAGAAAAUACGAGACCAGACAAGAUCUUCUUACAAAGGCUGGAUUCAACUUGCAGACAUGAUCUCUUGUGCUUUUGAAGGACAUGAGAAGUUCCCCUCUCCUGCAGUGUAUGCUCCGAGGCGCCUUUCUUUGUCAAGACCCUCUGCUGAGAUAAGGGAGGGCAGUUCAGUGACUCUGACCUGUAGCAGUGAUGCUAACCCAGCAGCUAACUACACCUGGUACAAGGAGAAUAGAAAUCCGGACCUUCCUCUUCUCAGUGAAGGACCACAGCUUGUCCUCAGCUCCAUCCAGUCCUCUGACUCUGGACAGUAUUUCUGUUCAGCUACAAAUGAGCUGGGGAGGAGCAGAUCUGUAAACAGCUUUAUUAAUGUGAAAUAUGCUCCAAAGCUCCCCUCUGUGUCAGUGAGUCCCUCUGCUGAGAUAGAGGAGGGCAGUUCAGUGACUCUGACCUGUAGCAGUGAUGCUAACCCAGCAGCUAACUACACCUGGUACAAGAGGAAUAGAAAUACACAACUUUCUUAUUUCAGUGAAGGACAACAGCUUUCCUUCAGCUCCAUCCAGUCCUCUGACUCUGGACGGUAUUUCUGUAGAGCUGAGAACAAGCUGGGGAGGAGCACAUAUACAAACACCUUUAUCAACGUGAAAUAUGCUCCGAGGCUUCCUUCUGUGUCAGUGAGUCCCUCUGGUGAGAUAGAGGAGGGCAGUUCAGUGACUCUGACCUGUAGCAGUGAUGCUAACCCAGCAGCUACAUACACCUGGUACAAGAAGAAUGGACAUGCAGACGUUCCUCUUCUCAGUGAACGACCACAGCUUGUCUUCAGAUCCAUCCAGUCCUCUGACUCUGGACAGUAUUUCUGUAGCGCUGAGAACUCGCUGGGGAGGAGCAGAUUUGAAAACACCUUUAUCAACGUGAAAUAUGCUCCAAAGCUCCCCUCUGUGUCAGUGAGUCCCUCUGCUGAGAUAAAGGAGGGCAGUUCAGUGACUCUGACCUGUAGCAGUGAUGCUAACCCAGCAGCUAACUACACCUGGUACAAGGAGGAUCAAAAUGCAGACUUUUCUUCUGUCAAUGAAGGACCACGUCUCGUCCUCAGCUCCAUCCAGUCCUCUGACUCUGGACAGUAUUUCUGUAGAGCUGAGAAUCUGCUGGGGAGUACAAGAUCUGAAUCCAUCUCUAUUGAUGUGAAAUAUGCUCCAAAGCCUCCCUCUGUGUCAGUGAGACCCUCUGCUGAGAUAGAGGAGGGCAGUUCAGUGACUCUGACCUGUAGCAGUGAUGCUAACCCAGCAGCUAACUACACCUGGUACAAGGAGGAUCAAAAUGCACGUCUUUCUUCUGUCAAAGAAGGACCACGUCUCGUCCUCAGCUCCAUCCAGUCCUCUGACUCUGGACAGUAUUUCUGUAGAGCUGAGAACAAGCUGGGGAGUAAAAGAUCUGAAUCCAUCUCUAUUGAUGUGAAAUACUCUCCAAAACUUUCAGUGACUCUGACCUGUAGCAGUGAUGCUAACCCAGCAGCUAACUACACCUGGUACAAGGAGGAUGAAGACUCUCCAAAAGCUUCAGGACAGAUCUUCACCAUCACUGACUUCAGAGCUGAACACAGUGGGAGUUAUUCCUGUGGAGCCCAGAACAAGUUAGGACGUAGUAACUCCACCUUAACUCUGAGUGUUGUGGCAGGGAGUUCAACAAUGAUAGUGAAUAUCAUCAGGACGACUCUGGUGGUCUUGAUGCUGAUCUCUGUGUUUCCCCUGAGUCUGUGGAUGAGGAAGAAGAACACUCGUACACACUCCACCACUGGAGCACAUGAACCUGAAGAGAUAGAGUUGGACUCUGAUCCUGAGUAUGAGAACGACUCACACACUGCAGCACAGACAGAAGACACAGAGGAGCAGGAAGACAUGGUGUGAAGUCCAGUCAGUCCAGGUGUGAGUGGUUCCUGUUGGCAGGCGUGUACGUUUCCCACGUCUCGAAGUUCUGCAUUUCUCUGCAAGCAAAUGCAACCUGACCACAGAGAUAAGAAACACCAAGCACAAAGAUAUGUAAUGUUCCAGUCUCUCUGAUAAUUAAUUUGGUUCUCUUCAUCCUGUUCAGUCAAACUGCCUCGUGGGUUCACAGGUCAAUGCGUUCCUGUUCCUUCACUCCACCUGCAGACUGUGUGACGUCCUCAGCGCUCAUAGAGAUCAACUGUUAUUCUCCUCUUCAUUUAAAUGCUCUUUUCUGGUGUCAGUGGAAUAUUGGCAGUGAAACAAAUGUUCAACCGAAGUCUCUUUUAACGUGUAUACUUUUUGAAAACAACCAAACUUUACUGUGUAGUGGGUGUUACUGGGGUUUGGCUCAUCAUGCAUAAUAAUCGUCUAAAGAGGAAGUAAAUCUCUUAACAGCCUGAUAUCUGUCUUCUGCUCAUUGCUACAGAGGAAAGGCAUCUUUGAACACGUCGUUCCUCCUUCACUUCUCACAGAGAUGAGAGGAGCAGCUAUGAGUCUAACUGCAGCAGCGAGUGGAUUAGUUGUCUUCCUGCUCUCUGUGUCAGUGGUUCAGGGUCAGGAUGGCUGGGGAGCGAAUUACACUUCUACUGAGGUCUGUGCAGUGAAAGGAUCAACAGUGGAGAUAAGAUGCAGCUUCACAUACCCAUCUACAUGGAAAGGCAGUCAAAAUAAAACAGCUAUUCCUGUGCUCUGAAAGGACAUGAAGACUCCUCCUGCAGUGUGAUCACGGUGGCUACUACCUUUUGUAACAAUCCCUGUUGUUCUCCUGGCUGUCAUAUCUCUCUCUGUCUUCCUGUGGAUCAGAAAAAAGAGGGCUUCCAGGGACUCUGCUGAACCUGA